rnacentral:piRNA from 1 species
UCAUCUCUCAUAAUGCUGUUAAGGUACUC